AGCAGCAGCAGUAUAUCAAGUUAGCAUAACAAAAUAAAGCCAAUCUGCGAAAGAACUGUCGGUUAAUCAUAGGAAGAAACAAGAAGAAGAAGAGAAGGGGACGACGAGUACUAACCUGCCGCUGCUGCCUCUGCCUGCCUGCCGGUGGAACUGACGAACUCUACUCUAGACGGACCGAGGAAGAUGAGACCAGAGUGGCAGAUACGCCUUCGCCCUUGCCUCGCCUGAACUCGAAACGUUCGGUCGGCGGCGGCGUCAAGUCGAUGCAAGCAGGAGCAGGAGCAGGACUACGGGAGGUGAAACAGGAAAGCAGGGCCGCAGGGGACAGUGGCCAGUGGUGGUGCUGUGAAGACAAGGCGACAUGGCAUUGGGA
rnacentral:lncRNA from 1 species